UACGUAGGUGGCGAGCGUUGUCCGGAAUUAUUGGGCGUAAAGAGCGCGUAGGCGGGAUAUUAAGUCUAUUCUAAAAGUGCGGGGCUCAACCCCGUGAUGGGAUGGAAACUAAUAUUCUUGAGUGCCGGAGAGGAAAGCGGAAUUCCCAGUGUAGCGGUGAAAUGCGUAGAUAUUGGGAGGAACACCAGUGGCGAAGGCGGCUUUCUGGACGGUGUCUGACGCUGAGGCGCGAAAGCCAGGGGAGCGAACGGG
rnacentral:rRNA from 1 species